rnacentral:rRNA from 1 species
GUGGGUAGUUUGACUGGGGCGGUCUCCUCCUAAAGAGUAACGGAGGAGCACGAAGGUUAGCUAAUCCUGGUCGGACAUCAGGAGGUUAGUGCAAAGGCAUAAGCUAGCUUGACUGCGAGAGUGACGGCUCGAGCAGGUGCGAAAGCAGGUCUUAGUGAUCCGGUGGUUCUGAAUGGAAGGGCCAUCGCUCAACGGAUAAAAGGUACUCCGGGGAUAACAGGCUGAUACCGCCCAAGAGUUCAUAUCGACGGCGGUGUUUGGCACCUCGAUGUCGGCUCAUCACAUCCUGGGGCUGAAGUAGGUCCCAAGGGUAUGGCUGUUCGCCAUUUAAAGUGGUACGCGAGCUGGGUUUAGAACGUCGUGAGACAGUUCGGUCCCUAUCUGCCGUGGGCGCUGGAGAAUUGAGGGGGGCUGCUCCUAGUACGAGAGGACCGGAGUGGACGCAUCACUGGUGUUCGGGUUGUCAUGCCAAUGGCAUUGCCCGGUAGCUAAAUGCGGAAGAGAUAAGUGCUGAAAGCAUCUAAGCACGAAACUUGCCCCGAGAUGAGUUCUCCCUGAGACUUUAAGUCUCCUGAAGGAACGUUGAAGACGACGACGUUGAUAGGUCGGGUGUGUAAGCGUAGCGAUACGUUGAGCUAACCGAUACUAAUGAACCGUGAGGCUUAACCUU